rnacentral:rRNA from 1 species
AAGACGCUCGCCUCACUAAUGAUGCUAAUCUCCUGGGAAAUUUGAAUGGAGCGCAAUGCUAGAGUUUUCCGCAACACCGCCGCACCUACGACGGUCGUCAUUAGUAAGAUAAAAGAGGAGUUGUUGCUUUGGGCGUUGGCGGGCGCCAAGCAUUUGAGUGUUGUAAUGCCGCGAGAGUAG